UCUCCAGACUCCUACGGGAGGCAGCAGUGGGGAAUAUUGGACAAUGGGGGGAACCCUGAUCCAGCGACGCCGCGUGAGUGAAGAAGUAUUUCGGUAUGUAAAGCCCUAUCAGCAGGGAAGAACAAUGACGGUACCUGACUAAGAAGCACCGGCUAAAUACGUGCCAGCCGCCGCGGUAAUACGUAUGGUGCAAGCGUUAUCCGGAUUUACUGGGUGUAAAGGGAGCGUAGACGGCGAGGUAAGCCUGAAGUGGAAGCCCGCGGCCCAACCGCGGAACUGCUUUGGGAACUGUUUUGCUGGAGUAUGGGAGGGGUAAGCGGAAUUCCUGGUGUAGCGGUGAAACGCGUAGAUAUCAGGAGGAACACCGGUGGCGAAGGCGGCUUACUGGACCAUAACUGACGUUGAGGCUCGAAAGCGUGGGGAGCGAACAGGAUUAGAUACCCCCGUAU
rnacentral:rRNA from 1 species